CCCUUAGAUGUUCUGGGCAGCACGCGCGCUACAAUGGUCUUCGCAAACGGAUGCAUUCUCGAAGGAGAAUGCCAAUCUUGGAAUCUAUGCCUUGGUCGGGACAGUUGCUUGCAAUUUUUCGACUCGAACCAGGAAUUCCUUGUAAUCGUGAUUCAUCACAUCACGAUGAAUACGUCCCUGCCCUUUGUACACACCGCCCGUCGCUCCUACCGAUCGAAGAGUUAGGUGAAUUGUUUUGAUCGAUAAGAUUUGACUAUGGUCAACUCUCGUUGUGAAAUUCUGUGAACCUGACUGUUUAGAGGAAGGAAAAGUCGUAACA
rnacentral:rRNA from 1 species